rnacentral:rRNA from 1 species
UAAUGCCCCAUGUGUCCUCAGACGGCAUCAGACGAGGACGAAAGAUUUAUCGGAAGUGGAUGGGGAUGCGCCUGAUUAGGCAGUUGGCGGGGCAACGGCCCACCAAGCCGACGAUCAGUAGGGGUUCUGAGAGGAAGGUCCCCCACAUUGGAACUGAGACACGGUCCAAACUCCUACGGGAGGCAGCAGUGAGGAAUAUUGGUCAAUGGGCGAGAGCCUGAACCAGCCAAGUAGCGUGCAGGACGACGGCCCUAUGGGUUGUAAACUGCUUUUGCGCGGGGAUAAAGUGCGCCACGUGUGGCUCAUUGCAGGUACCGCGCGAAUAAGGACCGGCUAAUUCCGUGCCAGCAGCCGCGGUAAUACGGAAGGUCCAGGCGUUAUCCGGAUUCAUUGGGUUUAAAGGGAGCGCAGGCCGCCCCUUAAGCGUGUUGUGAAAUGCCGCGGCUCAACCGUGGCACUGCAGCGCGAACUGGGGGGCUUGAGUGCGCGCAGCGCAGGCGGAACUCGUGGUGUAGCGGUGAAAUGCUUAGAUAUCACGAAGAACUCCGAUCGCGAAGGCAGCCUGCGGGAGCGCAACUGACGCUGAGGCUCGAAAGUGCGGGUAUCGAACAGGAUUAGAUACCCUGGUAGUCCGCACGGUAA